AGAGUUUGAUCCUGGCUCAGGAUGAACGCUAGCGGCAGGCCUAACACAUGCAAGUCGAGGGGUAACAGGGUAGCAAUAUCGCUGACGACCGGCGCACGGGUGAGUAAUGCAUAUGCAACCUUUCCUUUAACUGGGGCAUAGCCCGGAGAAAUUCGGAUUAAUACCCCAUAACAUCAUUGAAGGGCAUCUUUUGAUGAUUAAAGCUCCGGCGGUUAAAGAUGGGCAUAUGUGCCAUUAGCUAGUUGGUGAGGUAACGGCUCACCAAGGCUACGAUGGUUAGGGGGUCUGAGAGGAUGAUCCCCCACACUGGUACUGAGACACGGACCAGACUCCUACGGGAGGCAGCAGUGAGGAAUAUUGGGCAAUGGGCGCAAGCCUGACCCAGCCAUGCCGCGUGAAGGAUGAAUGCCCUAUGGGUCGUAAACUUCUUUUGUACGGGACAAAACUCCUGGUCGUGACCGGGAUUGAUGGUACCGUACGAAUAAGCAUCGGCUAACUCCGUGCCAGCAGCCGCGGUAAUACGGAGGAUGCAAGCGUUAUCCGGAUUCAUUGGGUUUAAAGGGUGCGUAGGCGGAAUAAUAAGUCAGUGGUGAAAGCCUGUGGCUCAACCAUAGAAUUGCCAUUGAUACUGUUAUUCUUGAGUAUAGUUGAAGUGGGCGGAAUGUGUAAUGUAGCGGUGAAAUGCUUAGAUAUUACACAGAACACCAAUUGCGAAGGCAGCUCACUAAGCUGUUACUGACGCUGAGGCACGAAAGCGUGGGGAACAAACAGGAUUAGAUACCCUGGUAGUCCACGCCGUAAACGAUGAUCACUCGUUGUUGGCGAUACACCGUCAGCGACUGAGCGAAAGCAAUAAGUGAUCCACCUGGGGAGUACGGUCGCAAGACUGAAACUCAAAGGAAUUGACGG
rnacentral:rRNA from 1 species